GACGAACGCUGGCGGCGUGCCUAAUACAUGCAAGUCGAACGAACUCUGGUAUUGAUUGGUGCUUGCAUCAUGAUUUACAUUUGAGUGAGUGGCGAACUGGUGAGUAACACGUGGGAAACCUGCCCAGAAGCGGGGGAUAACACCUGGAAACAGAUGCUAAUACCGCAUAACAACUUGGACCGCAUGGUCCGAGCUUGAAAGAUGGCUUCGGCUAUCACUUUUGGAUGGUCCCGCGGCGUAUUAGCUAGAUGGUGGGGUAACGGCUCACCAUGGCAAUGAUACGUAGCCGACCUGAGAGGGUAAUCGGCCACAUUGGGACUGAGACACGGCCCAAACUCCUACGGGAGGCAGCAGUAGGGAAUCUUCCACAAUGGACGAAAGUCUGAUGGAGCAACGCCGCGUGAGUGAAGAAGGGUUUCGGCUCGUAAAACUCUGUUGUUAAAGAAGAACAUAUCUGAGAGUAACUGUUCAGGUAUUGACGGUAUUUAACCAGAAAGCCACGGCUAACUACGUGCCAGCAGCCGCGGUAAUACGUAGGUGGCAAGCGUUGUCCGGAUUUAUUGGGCGUAAAGCGAGCGCAGGCGGUUUUUUAAGUCUGAUGUGAAAGCCUUCGGCUCAACCGAAGAAGUGCAUCGGAAACUGGGAAACUUGAGUGCAGAAGAGGACAGUGGAACUCCAUGUGUAGCGGUGAAAUGCGUAGAUAUAUGGAAGAACACCAGUGGCGAAGGCGGCUGUCUGGUCUGUAACUGACGCUGAGGCUCGAAAGUAUGGGUAGCAAACAGGAUUAGAUACCCUGGUAGUCCAUACCGUAAACGAUGAAUGCUAAGUGUUGGAGGGUUUCCGCCCUUCAGUGCUGCAGCUAACGCAUUAAGCAUUCCGCCUGGGGAGUACGGCCGCAAGGCUGAAACUCAAAGGAAUUGACGGGGGCCCGCACAAGCGGUGGAGCAUGUGGUUUAAUUCGAAGCUACGCGAAGAACCUUACCAGGUCUUGACAUACUAUGCAAAUCUAAGAGAUUAGACGUUCCCUUCGAGGACAUGGAUACAGGUGGUGCAUGGUUGUCGUCAGCUCGUGUCGUGAGAUGUUGGGUUAAGUCCCGCAACGAGCGCAACCCUUAUUAUCAGUUGCCAGCAUUAAGUUGGGCACUCUGGUGAGACUGCCGGUGACAAACCGGAGGAAGGUGGGGAUGACGUCAAAUCAUCAUGCCCCUUAUGACCUGGGCUACACACGUGCUACAAUGGAUGGUACAACGAGUUGCGAACUCGCGAGAGUAAGCUAAUCUCUUAAAGCCAUUCUCAGUUCGGAUUGUAGGCUGCAACUCGCCUACAUGAAGUCGGAAUCGCUAGUAAUCGCGGAUCAGCAUGCCGCGGUGAAUACGUUCCCGGGCCUUGUACACACCGCCCGUCACACCAUGAGAGUUUGUAACACCCAAAGUCGGUGGGGUAACCUUUUAGGAACCAGCCGCCUAAGGUGGGUCAGAUGAUUAGGGUG
rnacentral:rRNA from 1 species